UACGUAGGGUGCAAGCGUUGUCCGGAAUUAUUGGGCGUAAAGAGCUUGUAGGCGGUUUGUCGCGUCUGCUGUGAAAUUUCGGGGCUCAACCCCGAACUUGCAGUGGGUACGGGCAGACUAGAGUGUGGUAGGGGAGAUCGGAAUUCCUGGUGUAGCGGUGAAAUGCGCAGAUAUCAGGAGGAACACCGGUGGCGAAGGCGGCAUCCUGGACCGGCAUUGACGCUGAGGCGCGAAAGCCAGGGGAGCAAACGGG
rnacentral:rRNA from 1 species